CAUGUAUUGCCUUACUCAACAAGUUCAGUAUCAAAGAGGUUUGUGACUUGGAAGAGAAAGUGGUUGAGUUGGGGAUGGAUCAGGGCAUCAAUAUUCUCAAGGCUUCUCUACAAUCCAAGAUGGUGCUCACAAGUGCUUUUCUGAAGAACAUAUUACUUUAGUAUGAGAUGGCUCAGUAUAGUAUGAGUAUGAAUCCCACUGGUCUGUGUAGAGCAUAUGGUGCAAUGG